rnacentral:rRNA from 1 species
UACGUAGGGGGCAAGCGUUGUCCGGAUUUAUUGGGCGUAAAGAGCGUGUAGGCGGCCAGAUAGGUCCGUUGUGAAAACUCGAGGCUCAACCUCGAGACGCCGAUGGAAACCAUCUGGCUAGAGUCCGGAAGAGGAGAGUGGAAUUCCUGGUGUAGCGGUGAAAUGCGCAGAUAUCAGGAAGAACACCCGUGGCUAAGGCGGCUCUCUAGUACGGUACUGACGCUGAGGCGCGAAAGCGUGGGGAGCAAACGGG